AUGGCGGCGGACACGGCCGAGACGACGAGCGCGCUCCAGCCCACCCUGACCAUCAGCAUUGGCUCCUCCCUUAGAUCCUUGACAAACUUCGAGAAUAUGACCUUCAGCCUUCGGUCCCUCACGACCUCCUGUAGCGAUGACACCACCGGUGAAAUCGGUGCUUCUUUGGACAGUCCCGGGUCGUCACCCCUGUCCCUGAGUUGUUUAAGUGCAGUCACCUUGACCAUCCACUGGCAGACGACGUCGGCGAGAGCCCGGCUCAGGAGGGCCCGGAAAAUCGCCGCGUCUUUGGAGAUCAGGUCCCGGGCAAGAGACUUGUGGUUCUGCACAACCAAACACAGAGUGAGCUCAAGAUGCAGUUCAGUUUAG
rnacentral:rRNA from 1 species